CUUCGAAUCCUUGAAUCUGUAACUCUGCUUCAGCUGAGAAGAGAAGAAGAAGAAGCUCGCCGUCGCCGUCUUGCCUUCUCCACCCGCGCGAUAUCGCAAUAGGCCACUGCCCCUGGCCUGGAGGAUAAACUUGGAAAGUUAGCUCCUGCUUAUGUUGUUGCCGGUCACAUUGCUCCCUAUUUAGUGGAAAGUAGGUCAUUGAAGGAAAUUGUGUUAGAUUCCAAUCUCAAUUUUGUUACCUCAGAGCUUGUCCAAUUUAACACUAGUUUGCCUCAUUACAAACCAAAGAUAGAGUUUACAGAGAUGCCUCGGUUGAUGGUAGAAUUGUUUCUCCCACCUUGAUCACAGGCCCUUAGAUCAAGAAGAUAUAUUAGACACAACGAUCAGGGGAACUUGAUAUGCCUAUGGGGACGGCAUUUAGAAGGAAAACAAGCUUUCAAAAUAAGAUUAAGAAGACAGAUAAUGUUAAAAUCUUGUCUAAAACUCAAAUAAUGUUAGAAAUGUAACUAUGAAACUUAUAAACUGAAAUUAACAUGGGAUUAUGAUAUGAUAUGUUUAACAAUAGAUGUUGAUGAUAUUACUGC